rnacentral:snRNA from 1 species
AUGCUUGCUUUGGCAGCACAUAUACUAAAAUUGGAACAAUACAGAGAAGAUUAACAUGGCCCCUGCACAAGGAUGACACACAAAUUCGUGAAGCAUUCCAUAUUUAU